rnacentral:lncRNA from 1 species
AGGACAUCAGUGAUCCCUUUCCUCGCCGUCCGAGGAGGGAUCCCACUCGACCGUCCAUCCAGGAGGAAGUUGGGGCGGCCAAGUGCCAACAGGAGCAAACUCAGGAGCUGCAACUUCACCUGAAAAGAGAGCCACAAACAAUGCUGAGCUUCUAAGCUCAACAAGACUUAACCGACCGGUGGGAAGAACUACUCCACCACUUCUAGACAUGCAAGGCUCUUUGGCUGAGGGGUUUGUGCUGCCAAAAGCGACUACAGUGGGUCCUUACUUUCAAUAUUUUACCUCAGAUUCUAAGUUCAUCAACCAGUCUACAUUGGCGACUUAAGCUAAACAACCAUAGUUUCCAACAACAAAGUGUAGAACAAGCAUCGGGUUCAUAUCAUCAUCAUGUUCCAUCUUUACUAAGUGUAGCAUAGCGAUCAAGCAGUCUCAAACUGUGAGAGGCAAACGAAUCGAUUCGAGUUCCUUAACCAUGCAUGGUGAACCUAAUCUCAUGAUAUCCGUGCACCGCAAAGGGUCUCUUCCGGUGUCGGCCGUCCCCAUCAAUUCCAAGGCACGUGUCAGGUCCAAACUUCCCUUGGCAUGCAAUGCUCCACAGUCCCGGCCUCUACCGUAGUGUGACCGCACUUGCACCCACAUGAUGCACCAUGGGAACCUCGUUCCGGGGACAGCAGGGGUAUAAGCCACACCCUAGUUCAAUCAGGUACUAGGCUUCCCCAUCCCAUACUAGGUAUGAGAUUAGUACUUUCAAACACUUGAUCACCAACACUUUUCGACCUUAAGCAACUUCAUAUAGACAGACAGGGCGAUCCACCGACCACCAAAAGAGUUCACUAGGCCCUGCCCCGUCCAUCGUCCUUAUAGUUGUAACCAGAAGGAGAACAACCAACUCCUAUAACUCGCGAGUGAUAGGAAAUCACUCGACUUUUACCGAGCCCUAUUAAGCAAUGCAACUACUCAGACUCAUCAGACAAGUGUUCAGAUCAAGGGAACCAAGUCUUGCAUCUAUGGCUCCAAACAACUCCUGUUACGUAAAUGCACAUACAAAUGAAGGAAGGCAUGUGUAAGUUUAGAAAGUUGGGUUCUGCUCCGGGGCUUGCCUUCAAGCGGAGGAGAGGGAAACUGGUCUUCAGCUGGGGCGGCUUCGGCUUCUGGAACUGGCAGCUCAGCUACAGCUCUAUCUUCUAGCACCGGAUGUAGCUCGUACGUGCUGUCAGCGAGAUUUAGUUCUACACGAAUGCAAAAUGCAGAAGUUAAAGUUUAGACGGUUAUUUCAACACAACACUUGCAAGUUUUAGCCCAGAAACUUGUAGCAAAGCUACGGAAAAAGUGUGGAGGUUUAAGCUUCAAUUGAUAGAGAACAAGACAAAGGGUCGGAUUGGGAGAAACUUAAGAUCUGACCCUCCGACCUAAGGAAUACUGUACCGGGGUCCUCAGACUUAUCAUAGAGAAGUCCCCGAAAUUUUACACAAAUACCUUCGGGUCAAGGAAAAGGAUAUAGCCGAGUCCUCGGGCGAGGCGGAUAAGGGUCGGCUAAACAAACAGGGUCGGGCAAGACGGAAAAAGGGGUCAGGCGAAACAGACAAGGUCGGGCGAAACAGACAGGGUCGGGCGAGACGGAAAAAGGGGUUGGGCGAACCGGGAAGGGGUCGGCAGCUUACCUUCAGGUCUACUGGUGAAGGCUUGGGGUCGGGAAGGAGCAGACUUUGGGCGGAAGGUCUUAAGCACUAAGGCUUGGGCGGCGGCGAUGUCCGGCGGUGCUCCGGCGGCGGCGGAGCUUCUUGUGGGCAACAAGAAAGUUCUAGCACAGCGCGGAGGAGCAGGUGGCUGGGUGGAUUGGGGAGAAGCGGACUUGAGCGGAGAGGGGAACUUCUCAAGAGUUUCAGUGGGAUUAAUCAAGUGUGCUCAGAGUAGGGGCGGUGAAACAGCGAUGGCGAAGGAACUCCGGUGGAACUCUAGCAUUCCAUUUUUAUAGCGGUGCGGAAGAGAGAGAGUUGGAGCAGCAUGAAGACCGGAAGAAAAGGAUGGAGUGUGCUGCCAUGGCGGUGAUUGAGCGGUGAUGAGCGGCGGAACAGAGCUUCGGAGAUGGUGUCUUCGGCCAUUGGGCACUGGAGACAAGGCGGCGCAGGCGCGGUUUUGCCGGGGUUUAGAUUUGGUGGAGGCGGGCGUCGUCGAGCGGCGGAUUUGAUUGGUGUGACCGGAAGAAAGGCGCUACAAGCGAGGUUGCAACAGGUGCAAAGACAGGGCGAGCUGCGGCUGCGCGGGCAAGCGCGAAACAGCGGCUUGCCGGGGCACAGUUCUGGCAAGGCGGAAAAGGAGCUGUCGCUGCCGGAGUCGGGGUUGGCGAGGGAGGAAUCAUCGUGUAGCGAGUUCGUGGGCUAGACUCCAAGAGCCCUAGAGCCUGACACAAUGUAAGAUACAAGAGCCGUACCCUAGACUCCAAGAAGACCUAGAGCCUGAAGUAGAGCUACAAUAGCCUGGCUCCACUAACUUGGAAACUAAGAUGGAGAGAAUGAUUCACUUGUGGUGU